GUGGGGAAUUUUGGACAAUGGGCGCAAGCCUGAUCCAGCAAUGCCGCGUGCAGGAAGAAGGCCUUCGGGUUGUAAACUGCUUUUGUACGGAACGAAACGGUCCGGGUUAAUACCCUGGGCUAAUGACGGUACCGUAAGAAUAAGCACCGGCUAACUACGUGCCAGCAGCCGCGGUAAUACGUAGGGUGCAAGCGUUAAUCGGAAUUACUGGGCGUAAAGCGUGCGCAGGCGGUUUUGUAAGACAGGCGUGAAAUCCCCGGGCUCAACCUGGGAAUUGCGCUUGUGACUGCAAGGCUGGAGUGCGGCAGAGGGGGAUGGAAUUCCACGUGUAGCAGUGAAAUGCGUAGAUAUGCGGAGGAACACCGAUGGCGAAGGCAAUCCCCUGGGCCUGCACUGACGCUCAUGCACGAAAGCGUGGGGAGCAAACAGGAUUAGAUACCCGGGUAGUCC
rnacentral:rRNA from 1 species